rnacentral:lncRNA from 1 species
CCGCCGCCCGGCCCACCCAGCACCCGGACCCCGCGGCGAGCUCUGUGCCGCCCCGGCCUCUUCAGUGUCAUCUCGCCUGCCCGGAGGCUCACUGCUGUCCUUUCCUCUGGACUCGCGUCCGCCUCCCUUGUUCCCCACGCCCGCUGCGGCCCGUGUCUCGGGCCAGGGUCUCCCAGGCCCCGGGUCUCUCCGUCCGUCGGGCAGUCCGCGUCUACGCCUCCGUCUCCGUCUCUCUGCUUCUGGUCGGAUGUUUCUCUGCGCUUCUCCCUCCCCUCACUAGCACCGCGGGACCCUCCCCCUCCCACUUAAUUCCUUCCAUCUGCGGAAUCGCUUCGCGGGCCGGCCGCGCCAGUGGGGGCCGGGGUUCCUGCCCGGGGAAGGACUCCCCGCCCCCUGCCCUCGCCUUCCCUCCACCCCCUCCGCCUUCUCCUGUUUCUGCCCCGGGCCCGCCUCGCCUCUCGCCGCUCUCGUCCGCCAGGACCCCAGUCCCGGGCCUCCCCUGGCGCUUCGGCGGGCUGCCGGGACCUCAGCUUGGGCCCUGGGGCCCCCGGGAAGGCGGCUGUCACCCAGCUCCUCGGGACAACCCAGUUAGGCCUCCUCAGCCUGGGGGAGCUCCGGCCCGGCGCGACGGGCCCCUAACGACCAGGCCGCUGGGACCGAUCGGCGGGGCCCAGCGGCUCGGUGCCCGCCCAGCGGACCUGCCUGCCUGCUGGCGGCGGCCCCAAAUCACCUUUCCCACCUCCAGCCUAGCCCGGCGGCGUUCACUUUGCAGUCGAGUGACCUCUGCGUGGCACUGGCCGCUGCGGGGGCGCCCGUUUCCCCCUCUGCAGGAUGGGGUUGAUCGUCGUCCGGCCCCAGGCGGUGUUUGCAAGCUCACCAAGUUGGGUUUGGAAAGCAGAAGGCGCUUUGUAAAGAGGAGGAGGCACCGUGGCCCAGGAAGAGGAAGGAAAAGGACUUGCCAGCAUCACCCAAGAAGCCGAUCACCAAGCCACCUGCUCCUAACCCACCGCCAAGUCCUGGCUCUCCCUUCCUUGGGCAGCCGGCAGCUCUGGCCUCGUGGAGUGUCCUCAGAACUGAAGAUAGGUGAGAACUCCCAGGUAAGGCUCGUGUCCCUGUUCCCUUCCCUGUCUGGUGACUCCAGCUACCCCAUGGUUUCCAAAAUGGGGUACGGAGAGAAGAUGAGAUCUGGAGAAAAGAAACCUGGUCUCUGCAAACCUCAGUUUCCCCAGUUAUCAAACCGGAAUGGGGAUCCUAUUCCUGUAAGCCUCUAUAGUGACUGA